rnacentral:lncRNA from 1 species
UUCGGAGAGGUAAUAAAUAGAGGACGACAGCUGCAACAUAAAGGACUGUUCAAUGAAGGAGACAUCGACUUGACUACGGCUCCUGUAACGUCAAGAGACGUGUCGCGCAGCGUACAAUUAGACAUGCAUCGAAGGUGUAUGUACUGCACAAUCACAGUAAUCACAGUAUUUGUGAGACAUCGUAAACAUCCCAAGGCAUGUGAAGCACAUUUGGACGCGAAAAAUGAAAGCAAUGGAGG